GGGGGCAGCUCAAGUGGUAGAGCACAUGCUUAGCAUGCACGAGGUCCUGGGUUCAAUCCCCAGUGCCUCCU
rnacentral:tRNA from 1 species